rnacentral:rRNA from 1 species
GACGAACGCUGGCGGCGUGCUUAACACAUGCAAGUCGAACGGUAAGGCCCUUCGGGGUACACGAGUGGCGAACGGGUGAGUAACACGUGGGUGAUCUGCCCUGCACUUCGGGAUAAGCCUGGGAAACUGGGUCUAAUACCGGAUAGGACCACUGCCUGCAUGGGUGGUGGUGGAAAGCUUUUGCGGUGUGGGAUGGGCCCGCGGCCUAUCAGCUUGUUGGUGGGGUGAUGGCCUACCAAGGCGACGACGGGUAGCCGGCCUGGGAGGGUGACCGGCAAAACUGGGACUGGGAUACGGCCCAGACUCCUGCGGGAGGCAGCAGUGGGGAAUAUUGCACAAUGGGCGCAAGCCUGAUGCAGCGACGCCGCGUGAGGGAUGACGGCCUUCGGGUUGUAAACCUCUUUCAGCACCGACGAAGCGCAAGUGACGGUAGGUGCAGAAGAAGGACCGGCCAACUACGUGCCAGCCGCCGCAGUAA